UACGUAGGGGGCGAGCGUUGUCCGGAUUUAUUGGGCGUAAAGAGCGUGUAGGCGGCCAUACAGGUCCGUUGUGAAAACUCGAGGCUCAACCUCGAGACGUCGAUGGAAACCGUAUGGCUAGAGUCCGGAAGAGGAGAGUGGAAUUCCUGGUGUAGCGGUGAAAUGCGCAGAUAUCAGGAGGAACACCAAUUGCGAAGGCAGCUCGCUGGGACGUUACUGACGCUGAGACGCGAAAGCGUGGGGAGCAAACAGG
rnacentral:rRNA from 1 species